ensembl:lncRNA
CCCGGAUGUUAGCCGAGUGGACACGCCGCCGCUACUGUUGCGUGAAGUCUGACCGACGCGUGAGAUAUCUGGAUGGUUUUCCGCGGCGAGCUGACGCGCAGGAAAACGCAGAGAAAACGCGGAUGAGACAAGUUGAUUAAUUAAGAUGAGCGAGAUCUGCCGUCCGGCAGCAGAGAGGAGAGAAGCGUCUUUGGAGGGCAGCUAACCCACUGAUGGCCUGCCAGUCGGUCUGUGCAGUCAUGGACGAGCAGGCCCUGCUGGGGCUCGACCCCAACGCCGACGCCCGCUACAGGCACAGGGUAGGACGCCACUUCACCGGGGGGGUCAUCACGUUACCUUCAGGUCUAAAACGAUGACAAUCUAAAUGUUAGAAACAACAGUAUAAUAAAUGUGUUCCUGGUUUGGUUUGACUUCAUGUUACUUUUUGUUUUCCUUAAGUGUUGCAUCCCAUUUAGUAUUUUUGAUAUCAUCCCUUUACAUUUUUAAACAGCGUAGCAUUCCCUCUGUCUACUUGCAGAGAAGUUUAGGGGUUAAAACUCCACCAACCAUCACUGGGUGCAUUGAGGAGAUAAAAGAGACACCUGUGAUCUGUUUAAUCAGAUGGAAUAUUUAUAUGAUCUAUUUACACACUGAGGGCAUAUUGUGUAUUUCGUUUGUAGCAUCAUCUUAAACUUCUUUCAAGAAUUCUGAUGCUCCGUUAAGGAGGAUUUCUUUGAUGAGGGACGGUGGACCUUAAUAAAACUCACUGCCAGUAAAGACACGAGGAAAUGUACUGUGGAACAAACAUCAAGUCUGUUAUGAGAAGUGUUGGACUAGUUGCUGCUGUUGUACCAUAAAUGACUCGUUCCUUUAAUGUCAGAAUAAAACCAAACGUGACGCUUGUCUGUCAGAAGACUCGUCUUCUUCUUCUCUGGUUUUGACGAGUCUUUUUACACGUCCUCGUUGGCUCAAUCGGUUCUAGUUAUUGAAGGUGGUGA